GAUGAACGCUAGCUACAGGCUUAACACAUGCAGGUCGAGGGGAAACGACAUCGAAAGCUUGCUUUUGAUGGGCGUCGACCGGCGCACGGGUGAGUAACGCGUAUCCAACCUGCCCACCACUUGGGGAUAACCUUGCGAAAGUAAGACUAAUACCCAAUGACGUCUCUAGAAGACAUCUGAAAGAGAUUAAAGAUUUAUCGGUGAUGGAUGGGGAUGCGUCUGAUUAGCUUGUUGGCGGGGUAACGGCCCACCAAGGCGACGAUCAGUAGGGGUUCUGAGAGGAAGGUCCCCCACAUUGGAACUGAGACACGGUCCAAACUCCUACGGGAGGCAGCAGUGAGGAAUAGUGGUCAAUGGGCGAGAGCCUGAACCAGCCAAGUAGCGUGCAGGAUGACGGCCCUAUGGGUUGUAAACUGCUUUUAUAAGGGAAUAAAGUGAGUCUCGUGAGACUUUUUGCAUGUACCUUAUGAAUAAGGACCGGCUAAUUCCGUGCCAGCCGCCGCAGUAA
rnacentral:rRNA from 1 species